UACGUAGGGUGCAAGCGUUGUCCGGAAUUAUUGGGCGUAAAGAGCUCGUAGGCGGCUUGUCACGUCGACUGUGAAAACCCGGGGCUCAACUCCGGGCCUGCAGUCGAUACGGGCUGGCUUGAGUGCGGUAGGGGAGACUGGAAUUCCUGGUGUAGCGGUGAAAUGCGCAGAUAUCAGGAGGAACACCGGUGGCGAAGGCGGGUCUCUGGGCCGUAACUGACGCUGAUGAGCGAAGGCCAGGGGAGCAAACGGG
rnacentral:rRNA from 1 species